UGUGUUAAUUUUUACCCAAGAUGGCCAUCUGGAGGGGCAAAGUUCUUCAACAGAAGGAGUAGAGGAGUGUCAUUGGAAGCCUAUUUGCUUCAGGAAAAGGCUCGAGCCAUUAGUUGGACUACAGAAUCAUUCUCCAAGGUCAAAGGAACUACAAGCAGCCUUGAGAACCAUCAGGAGCUGGAGCGACAGUCAGAAUCAUGUUGGCGGUGAGCCUCUAUCCUGUUUGAUUUUGUGCCUGCCCUGUGUGUCCCAGUUGGUGCCAUGUGCCUCCUUAGGCCUGCUGUAGAUUUGUGAUUCUAUCACUGAAGUUUGCUUUGGUCUCUGAUUAUUGCUCUCUUCCUACUGCUACCUAUUUUCUGCCCAUUCAGAAGUGGAAGAUGAUCUUUUUUCUCAGUUGACCAAAGCUUUAGCUCUAGCAUUAGAUAUUUAGCUUACCAAGGCAUUACACUUUUUGCCUAUAGAUUUUCUUCUUUCCCAGUCUAUUCCCCAGGAUACUGUUUCCCAAAUUGCUCUGUGGAACACUAGCUUAGUACAUGGUAUUGAUAGAUAUGUAGGGAUAAAGAGGGAUUUUAUGGCCAAAUUAUUGAGGAAAAAAUUGGAUUAGAUGAAGUUAAAGAUUUCUCGAUGAGUGUGGUGGCAAAUGCUUGUAGCCCAGGCUACCUGGGAGGCUGAGGCGGGAGGACUGCUUGAGCCCAGGAGUUAGAGUCCAGCCUAGGCAACAUAGUGAAACUCUCUGUAAAAUACAUAAAUAAAACAAGACAAUUUUAAAAAAAAGAUUUCUUUAAUGCAGGACUUCUCAGAGCUUUUAACAUUCUAGUGAAGGGAACAGCCAAGUUUGGCUCAUAGGCCAAAUCUGACCUGCCAUCUGCUUUUGCAAGUAAAGUUUUAUUGGAACACAGUCAUGCUGAUUUGUUGACAUAUUCUCCAUGGCUGCAUUCUUACUACAAUGGCAGAGGUGAGUAGCUACCUCAGUGACCAAAUAGCCCACAAAGCAGAAAAUAUGUACUUUUUGGCCCUUUAGAGAAAAGGUUUACCAACCUCUGCUCACAUGUCUCCAAAAGGCGGAAUACAUGUGGGUUCACACUUAUUUGGCUUCAAAUGCCUUCUUUCCUUGGACAACCUAUUUAACCUCUUAAGA
rnacentral:lncRNA from 1 species